UCUUCCGUGGCGCAAUUGGCUAGCGCGUCUGACUGUUAGUUCUACUACUAUUAGUGGAUAGCAAUCAGGAGGUUGACAGUUCAAGCCUGUCCGGGAGAG